rnacentral:rRNA from 1 species
UACGUAGGGUGCAAGCGUUAUCCGGAAUUAUUGGGCGUAAAGAGCUCGUAGGCGGUCUGUCGCGUCUGCUGUGAAAACUGGGGGCUCAACCCCCAGCCUGCAGUGGGUACGGGCAGACUAGAGUGCGGUAGGGGAGAUUGGAACUCCUGGUGUAGCGGUGGAAUGCGCAGAUAUCAGGAAGAACACCGAUGGCGAAGGCAGAUCUCUGGGCCGUAACUGACGCUGAGGAGCGAAAGCACGGGGAGCGAACAGG